UUGUCUCAAAGAUUAAGCCAUGCAUGUCUCAGUACAAGCCAAAUUAAGGUGAAACCGCGAAAGGCUCAUUAAAUCAGUUAUGGUUCCUUAGAUCGUACCCACACUUACUUGGAUAACUGUGGUAAUUCUAGAGCUAAUACAUGCAAACAGAGCUCCGACCGGAGACGGAAGGAGCGCUUUUAUUAGAUCAAAACCAAUCGGUGGCGGGUUCGCUCGUUCAUCGUAUAACUUGGUGACUCUGAAUAACUUUAAGCUGAUCGCACGGUCUAGCACCGGCGACGCAUCUUUCAAAUGUCUGCCUUAUCAACUGUCGAUGGUAGGUUCUGCGCCUACCAUGGUCGUAACGGGUAACGGGGAAUCAGGGUUCGAUUCCGGAGAGGGAGCCUGAGAAACGGCUACCACAUCCAAGGAAGGCAGCAGGCGCGCAAAUUACCCACUCCCGGCACGGGGAGGUAGUGACGAAAAAUAACGAUACGGGACUCAUCCGAGGCCCCGUAAUCGGAAUGAGUACACUCUAAACCCUUUAACGAGGAUCAAUUGGAGGGCAA
rnacentral:rRNA from 1 species